CGGCUUGCCGGAACGAUUAUACUGGCGAACGGGUGAGUAACGCGUAGGCAACCUGCCUUUGUGAAUGGGAUAACCCCGGGAAACCGGAGCUAAUACCGUAUAAUGUUCUUUCAUCGCCUGUUGGAAGAAUCAAAGAUGCUUUUGUAUCGCACAGAGAUGGGCCUGCGUUCCAUUAGCUUGUUGGUAGGGUAACGGCCUACCAAGGCCACGAUGGAUAGCUGAUCUGAGAGGGUGAUCAGCCACACUGGGACUGAGAUACGGCCCAGACUCCUACGGGAGGCAGCAGUGAGGAAUAUUGCGCAAUGGAGGAAACUCUGACGCAGCAACGCCGCGUGGGGGAUGAAGCACUAUGGUGUGUAAACCCCUGUAGACAGGGACGAAUGAUAUGUGUUCUUAAGGGCAUGUAUGUGACGGUACCUGUAAAGUAAGCACCGGCUAACUCCGUGCCAGCAGCCGCGGUAAUACGGGGGGUGCAAGCGUUGUCCGGAAUUACUGGGCGUAAAGGGCGUGUAGGCGGUUUAUUAAGUCAGAUGUGAAAGCCCACGGCUUAACCGUGGAACUGCAUUUGAUACUGAUAGGCUUGAGUAUGAGAAGGGGUAGUGGAAUUCCCAGUGUAGCGGUGAAAUGCGUAGAUAUUGGGAAGAACACCAGUAGCGAAGGCGACUACCUGGCUCAUUACUGACGCU
rnacentral:rRNA from 1 species